GACGCUGGCGGUGUGCUUAACACAUGCAAGUCGAACGAGAACGUUUCCUUCGGGAAACUAGUAAAGUGGCGCAAGGGUGAGUAACACGUGAAUAAUCUGCCCUCGAGAUCGGGAUAACUUGGCGAAAGCUAGGCUAAUACCGGAUAAGACCACAUUUCACAAGAAAUGCGGGAAAAGAAGUCUCAAUCUUUACUUGAGGAUGAGUUCGCGGACCAUUAGCUUGUUGGUGAGAUAAAAGCUCACCAAGGCUACGAUGGGUAGCCGGCCUGAGAGGGCGAUCGGCCACACUGGAACUGAGACACGGUCCAGACUCCUACGGGAGGCAGCAGUGGGGAAUAUUGCGCAAUGGGCGGAAGCCUGACGCAGCAACACCGUGUGAGCGAUGAAGGCUUUAGAGUCGUAAAGCUCUGUCAAAUGGGAAGAAUUCUGACGGUACCAUUAGAGGAAGCCCCGGCUAACUCCGUGCCAGCAGCCGCGGUAAUACGGAGGGGGCAAGCGUUGUUCGGAAUUAUUGGGCGUAAAGCGUAUGUAGGCGGCCGAACAAGUCAGGCGUGUAAGCCCGUGGCUCAACCACGGAAUUGCGUUUGAAACUGUUCGGCUUGAGUACAGGAGAGGAAAGCGGAAUUCCCAGUGUAGCGGUGAAAUGCAUUGAUAUUGGGAAGAACAUCUGUGGCGAAGGCGGCUUUCUGGUCUGUUACUGACGCUGAGAUACGAAAGCCAGGGGAGCGAACGGGAUUAGAUACCCCGGUAGUCCUGGCUGUAAACGAUGGGCACUAGGUGCAGGAGGUAUCGAUCCCCUCUGUGCCGUAGCUAACGCAUUAAGUGCCCCGCCUGGGGAGUACGGUCGCAGGCUGACUAAUGAGAUACG
rnacentral:rRNA from 1 species